AUUGAACGCUGGCGGCAGGCCUAACACAUGCAAGUCGAACGAGUGGCGGACGGGUGAGUAAUGUCUGGGAAACUGCCCGAUGGAGGGGGAUAACUACUGGAAACGGUAGCUAUUACCGCAUACCAUCGGAUGUGCCCAUAUGGGAUUAGCUAUGAGGUGUGGUAACGGCGCACCUAGGCGACGAUCCCUAGCUGGUCUGAGAGGAUGACCAGCCACACUGGAACUGGGACACGGUCCAGACUCCGACGGGAGGCAGCAGGGGGGAAGAGUGCACAAUGAGCUCAAGCCUGAUGCAGCCAUGCCGCGUGUAUGAAGAAGGCCUUCGGGUUGUAAAGUACUUUCAGCGAGGAGGCGUUACUCGCAGAAGAAGCACCGGCUAACUCCGUGCCAGCAGCCGCGGUAAUUC
rnacentral:rRNA from 1 species